rnacentral:rRNA from 1 species
CCUACGGGAGGCAGCAGUGAGGAAUAUUGGUCAAUGGACGCAAGUCUGAACCAGCCAUGCCGCGUGCAGGAUGACUGCUCUAUGGGUUGUAAACUGCUUUUAUACAAGAGUAAACUGAGAUACGUGUGUCUUUCUGUAUGUACCUUACGAAUAAGGAUCGGCUAACUCCGUGCCAGCAGCCGCGGUAAUACGGAGGAUUCAAGCGUUAUCCGGAUUUAUUGGGUUUAAAGGGUGCGUAGGCGGGUUGAUAAGUUAGAGGUGAAAUGUCGGGGCUUAACUGCGGAAUUGCCUCUGAUACUGUCAGGCUAGAGAGUAGUUGCGGUAGGCGGAAUGUAUGGUGUAGCGGUGAAAUGCUUAGAGAUCAUACAGAACACCGAUUGCGAAGGCAGCUUACCAAGCUACCUCUGACGUUGAGGCACGAAAGCGUGGGGAGCAAACAGGAUUAGAUACCCUUGUAGUC